AGCAGCCGCGGUAAUUCCAGCUCCAAUAGCGUAUAUUAAAGUUGUUGCAGUUAAAAAGCUCGUAGUUGAAUUUCGGGGUUCUACCGUCGGUCGGGCUAACAAGUCUGUACUGGUGUGUAGAAUUUCUACCUUCUGGGGAACUAUCAUGUUAUUAAUUUAGCGUGGUGGGAAACCAGGACCUUUACCUUGAAAAAUUAGAGUGUUCAAAGCAGGCUUACGUCUGAAUACAUUAGCAUGGAAUAAUAGAAUAGGACGGUGGUCCUGUUUUGUUGGUUUCUGAAUCACCGUAAUGAUUAAUAGGGAUAGUUGGGGGCAUUAGUAUUCAAUUGUCAGAGGUGAAAUUCUUGGAUUUAUUGAAGACUAACUUCUGCGAAAGCAUUUGCCAAGGAUGUUUUCAUUAAUCAAGAACGAAAGUUAGGGGAUCGAAGACGAUCAGAUACCGUCGUAGUCUUAACCAUAAAACUAUGCCGACUAGGGAUCGGACGAUGUUAACCUUUUAUUGACUCGCUCGGCGCCUUAC
rnacentral:rRNA from 1 species